rnacentral:rRNA from 1 species
CCGGCGACCGGCGCACGGGUGAGUAACACGUAUGCAACCUGCCCUCCGCAGGGGGAUAACCCGGAGAAAUCCGGACUAAUACCGCGUGGUACAUCUGUGGGGCAUCCCACGGGUGUUAAAAGGAAGCGAUUCCGGCGGAGGAUGGGCAUGCGGCGCAUUAGCUAGUCGGCGGGGUAACGGCCCACCGAGGCGACGAUGCGUAGGGGUUCUGAGAGGAAGGUCCCCCACACUGGUACUGAGACACGGACCAGACUCCUACGGGAGGCAGCAG